UACGUAGUUAGCCGGCGCUUUCUCUGCAGGUACCGUCAAUUUCUCUUCUUCCCUGCUAACAGAGGUUUACAACCCGAAGGCCGUCAUCCCUCACGCGGCGUCGCUGCAUCAGGCUUGCGCCCAUUGUGCAAUAUUCCCCACUGCUGCCUCUCGUAGGAGUCUGGGCCGUGUCUCAGUCCCAGUGUGGCCGGUCACCCUCUCAGGCCGGCUACCCGUCGUCGCCUUGGUGAGCCGUUACCUCACCAACAAGCUGAUAGGCCGUGAGCCCAUCUAUAACCACUACAUAACGCUUUCCACCAACACCCCAUGCGGAGAUUGGUCGUAUCCGGUAUUAGACCCAGUUUCCCAGGCUUAUCCCAGAGUUAAAGGUAGGUUACUCACGUAUUACUCACCCGUUCGCCACUAAUCCACCUAGCAAGCUAGGCUUCAUCGUUCGACUUGCAUGUGUUAAGCACGCCGCCAGCGUCGUCCUGUAGCCAGGAUCGAAACUACU
rnacentral:rRNA from 1 species